rnacentral:rRNA from 1 species
CUUUCAACAACGGAUCUCUUGGUUCCAGCAUCGAUGAAGAACGCAGCGAAAUGCGAUAAGUAAUGUGAAUUGCAGAAUUCAGUGAAUCAUCGAAUCUUUGAACGCACAUUGCGCCCCUCGGUAUUCCGGGGGGCAUACCUGUUCGAGCGUCAUUACACCUCUCAAGCGUAGCUUGGUAUU